GUCCCAUUUUAUUUGAAUAACCCUCCACAACAAAAAAACAUUUAAACAGCUGUCUUGCUAAAAUUAAUUUAUAAACUUAUUAAAUUAUUUUGGGCUCAGGUAAAAAAAAAAAAAAAUCUGCAAGAAUUGUGGCUUUUCCCCCGGUUUCGGUGUGUGCAGCUCGCGCAGAGAGGAAGUGGAGUUUGUCGUUACGUUGAGAGCAAAGUGGGCAGAGCCGCCGCUGAAGGAUAUCAGCUCGGGCGGGAGGGAGAGAGGAGGACACACGCCACAGAGGAGCCAGGCGUCGAGGACGCGCAGCGCGCAGCGAGCAGAGAGGCGCAGAGAAUGCGGCCCGGCGAGACGACGAAAAACGCCCGAAAAUGCCGAGGAAGACGGGGGAGACGACGGCGGGUCGAACCAGCCUGAAGGAAAACGGGAAUUCCCUUGACGUUUAGACAAAGGAGAAAAGGGAUCAUCUAAUCCACGCUAAAUGGGGUUGACAUUUAACCACAAAGGAGCGAUGAGUGGAAGGAUACUGGAGAUUCGUACUGCAACUCAGAUUUACGUGAAUAUGGGGGUGAAGAUUUUCAAAUUUUGAAGACAAAGAAGACUGUGCUACGCCAGGAAACUGGAUAUUGCUGAAGUGGCGACAACGUUGUUUAACGUGAAGAUGGAACCUUUUUUUUUCCUUUUUGCAGUAAACCAAACGUUUACGGGAUGCAACCAUCCUUUUUUUUGACUGGACUUUGCCAUUUGGAUUUUUUCAUUUUUGAGAACAGGGAGACUGGAACAAAGUUGGUGGCUGUUUGGUGCACUUGAACAAUUGGUUAUUUUUUCGGGAGAACACAAAAUCAGCCUUUGUACAUUUGAUUUCGCAAAUGUUUUUAAAUAAAGUGUAUGCAAUUGCAUUUUUCCCUGGCUUUGUUUCAAUAACUAACGGUACAGAAAAUCACAAUGGGAUAUUGAGCGUAACAUUUUAAUAACGGUCCUUUUAGCUCGGCUGUUUUCAACAUUCCGCUAUUUCGUAAAACCAAUGAACUUGGUUAGCACUGGCUUUGUUUCAGCCAGUCAUCAAUGGAUGCUAAUUUCGGUGAGCGUCGUACUGGGUCGACGAAUCUCCUGAAGUACAGCCCUCUUGAUUCAGGAGGCUCUUUGUUUCUACAAAAUUAUUAAGAUUAAAGAAGAUUGUGUGAAAUGUGUUGAUUCCAAUCAGUCUCACUGGAAACCGCUUAAUCCAUUAAAACCGCUGAACACCAACAUUCAAUAUGGUAUUUGCCGAAUGGCAACAAAGGGUUUGGCUUGAAAAGAAAUGUUUUCCAAGGGCUCUCCAAAUGGCUCCUGGUUGUCCUCCUUCCGGUCUGAGCAGGAAGUGAUGCAAUUGGUGCAACCCAAUUUAUAUACUUAUAAAACCCCUCAGUUGUCCUACAAGUUUUUUGUAAUGAAGUAGGAAGUAAGAUUUCAACCUCAGUUCUUGGCCUUUUUUUAAAAAGACGAUUGAUAUAAAAGCACAUUUUUAAACACAAUAAAAGGGGUGGGACUUAACCAUCACCUGAGUGUUGGGGUUAAUGGAAAUAACGUCAAUCAAAGGCGAAGCUUUCAGAGCUAGGAAGGAGCUCUAGAUGGCGGCUGAGCCUUGGGAAGGGUGCCAUGGACUUUCGUCAGACCGUUUCUCUGCUCCGUUUUUCGACGGAGACCGCGCGAUUUUGACAAAAAAUUAAAGCGCCCCGGUCGUUCUGUCGGUGUUUUAUCGAGCGUUUGGCCAUUUUCGCCUGUUUUUCGGGGCCGGUUCAGUCGAGCCGCGCGGAGGGGAGAGCUC
ensembl:lncRNA